rnacentral:tRNA from 1 species
GGGGUUAUCGCUCAAGUGUUAGGGGCAUGCUUAGCAUGCAUGAGGUUCUGGGUUCAAUCCCCAGUACCUCCA